rnacentral:rRNA from 1 species
UACGUAGGGUGCAAGCGUUGUCCGGAAUUAUUGGGCGUAAAGAGCUCGUAGGCGGUCUGUCGCGUCGGCUGUGAAAACCCGAGGCUCAACCUCGGGCCUGCAGUCGAUACGGGCAGACUAGAGUGUGGUAGGGGAGACUGGAAUUCCUGGUGUAGCGGUGAAAUGCGCAGAUAUCAGGAGGAACACCGGUGGCGAAGGCGGGUCUCUGGGGCCGAUAUUGACGCUGAGGAGCGAAAGCGUGGGGAGCGAACAGG